GCGCCCGGAAAACGGUGAAAAAGGAGGGAGAUGACGGACAUCGGUCCCAUUAGGGCGUGCGACGACACGUGUGGCUGCGUCGUCCCUUGCCCCGGCGACGCCACUUGCAGGUGCACCACCGCCCCCGCCACCACCACCAUAGGAGGUGGAGGGGAGGUGAGACACAACUUGUGCUCGUGUGGGCAACACUGCGGCUGUAACCCUUGCACGUGCGGCAGGAACGUAUCCACCUUGGGUGUCGGCAGGUCGGCUUGCACGUGUGGGACCGGUUGCACAUGCGCUGCAUGUGCCGCAGCUUGAGAGGAGCGUUCGUCGUGUCUUUGCUGUAGUCUACUGCAGCAGUUUAAUAAGGUCCCGGUUGACUGUUUUAGUGUAUGCCAUGUAAUAAUUAAAGCUUAUCUUGUAAUUAGGGUGAGUUAAAUGGUUUAGUAAAUUUACCCUUUUCUCUUCUCCAAA